rnacentral:rRNA from 1 species
UGUUUCGGCUAGGGGGCCAUCCCGGCUUACCAACCCGAUGCAAACUGCGAAUACCGGAGAAUGUUAUCACGGGAGACACACGGCGGGUGCUAACGUCCGUCGUGAAGAGGGAAACAACCCAGACCGCCAGCUAAGGUCCCAAAGUCAUGGUUAAGUGGGAAACGAUGUGGGAAGGCCCAGACAGCCAGGAUGUUGGCUUAGAAGCAGCCAUCAUUUAAAGAAAGCGUAAUAGCUCACUGGUCGAGUCGGCCUGCGCGGAAGAUGUAACGGGGCUAAACCAUGCACCGAAGCUGCGGCAGCGAACGUAUCACUUAAAGCGAUUCAGCGGGUUACGAUUGACGGAGCGAAGCGACGUCAAAGCGUAUACAAAGUCGAGUCGGUUUAAGGAUACGUUCGUUGGGUAGGGGAGCGUUCUGUAAGCCUGUGAAGGUGGCCUGUGAGGGUUGCUGGAGGUAUCAGAAGUGCGAAUGCUGACAUAAGUAACGAUAAAGCGGGUGAAAAGCCCGCUCGCCGGAAGACCAAGGGUUCCUGUCCAACGUUAAUCGGGGCAGGGUGAGUCGACCCCUAAGGCGAGGCCGAAAGGCGUAGUCGAUGGGAAACGGGUUAAUAUUCCCGUACUUGGUGUUACUGCGAAGGGGGGACGGAGAAGGCUAUGUUGGCCGGGCGACGGUUGUCCCGGUUUAAGCGUGUAGGCUGGUUUUCCAGGCAAAUCCGGAAAAUCAAGGCUGAGGCGUGAUGACGAGGCACUACGGUGCUGAAGCAACAAAUGCCCUGCUUCCAGGAAAAGCCUCUAAGCAUCAGGUAACAUCAAAUCGUACCCCAAACCGACACAGGUGGUCAGGUAGAGAAUACCAAGGCGCUUGAGAGAACUCGGGUGAAGGAACUAGGCAAAAUGGUGCCGUAACUUCGGGAGAAGGCACGCUGACACGUAGGUGAAGUGAUUUACUCAUGGAGCUGAAGUCAGUCGAAGAUACCAGCUGGCUGCAACUGUUUAUUAAAAACACAGCACUGUGCAAACACGAAAGUGGACGUAUACGGUGUGACGCCUGCCCGGUGCCGGAAGGUUAAUUGAUGGGGUCAGCGCAAGCGAAGCUCCUGAUCGAAGCCCCGGUAAACGGCGGCCGUAACUAUAACGGUCCUAAGGUAGCGAAAUUCCUUGUCGGGUAAGUUCCGACCUGCACGAAUGGCGUAAUGAUGGCCAGGCUGUCUCCACCCGAGACUCAGUGAAAUUGAACUCGCUGUGAAGAUGCAGUGUACCCGCGGCAAGACGGAAAGACCCCGUGAACCUUUACUAUAGCUUGACACUGAACAUUGAGCCUUGAUGUGUAGGAUAGGUGGGAGGCUUUGAAGUGUGGACGCCAGUCUGCAUGGAGCCGACCUUGAAAUACCACCCUUUAAUGUUUGAUGUUCUAACGUGGACCCGUAAUCCGGGUUGCGGACAGUGUCUGGUGGGUAGUUUGACUGGGGCGGUCUCCUCCUAAAGAGUAACGGAGGAGCACGAAGGUUGGCUAAUCCUGGUCGGACAUCAGGAGGUUAGUGCAAUGGCAUAAGCCAGCUUGACUGCGAGCGUGACGGCGCGAGCAGGUGCGAAAGCAGGUCAUAGUGAUCCGGUGGUUCUGAAUGGAAGGGCCAUCGCUCAACGGAUAAAAGGUACUCCGGGGAUAACAGGCUGAUACCGCCCAAGAGUUCAUAUCGACGGCGGUGUUUGGCACCUCGAUGUCGGCUCAUCACAUCCUGGGGCUGAAGUAGGUCCCAAGGGUAUGGCUGUUCGCCAUUUAAAGUGGUACGCGAGCUGGGUUUAGAACGUCGUGAGACAGUUCGGUCCCUAUCUGCCGUGGGCGCUGGAGAACUGAGGGGGGCUGCUCCUAGUACGAGAGGACCGGAGUGGACGCAUCACUGGUGUUCGGGUUGUCAUGCCAAUGGCACUGCCCGGUAGCUAAAUGCGGAAGAGAUAAGUGCUGAAAGCAUCUAAGCACGAAACUUGCCCCGAGAUGAGUUCUCCCUGAGACUUAGAGUCUCCUGAAGGAACGUUGAAGACGACGACGUUGAUA